rnacentral:ncRNA from 1 species
GCAAUGACGGUACCCGUCGAGGAAGCCACGGCUAACUACGUGCCAGCAGCCGCGGUAAUACGUAGGUGGCGAGCGUUGUCCGGAAUUAUUGGGCGUAAAGGGAGCGCAGGCGGGAAGGCAAGUCAGUCUUAAAAGUGCGGGGCUCAACCCCGUGAUGGGAUUGAAACUGUCUUUCUUGAGUGCAGGAGAGGAAAGCGGAAUUCCUAGUGUAGCGGUGAAAUGCGUAGAUAUUAGGAGGAACACCAGUGGCGAAGGCGGCUUUCUGGACUGUAACUGACGCUGAGGCUCGAAAGCGUGGGGAGCGAACAGGAUUAGAUACCCUGGUAGUCCACGCCGUAAACGAUGAAUGCUAGGUGUAGGAGGUAUCGACCCCUUCUGUGCCGGAGUUAACGCAAUAAGCAUUCCGCCUGGGGAGUACGGUCGCAAGACUGAAACUCAAAGGAAUUGACGGGGGCCCGCACAAGCGGUGGAGUAUGUGGUUUAAUUCGACGCAACGCGAAGAACCUUACCAGGGCUUGACAUUGA